rnacentral:rRNA from 1 species
CUGGUUGAUUCUGCCAGUAAC